rnacentral:rRNA from 1 species
AGAGUUUGAUUAUGGCUCAGAACGAACGCUGGCGGCGCGUUUUAAGCAUGCAAGUCGAGCGGCAAGGGUCUUCGGGCCCCUAGAGCGGCGGACGGGUGAGUAACACGUGGACAAUCUGCCCCCCGGCCGGGGAUAGCCCAGGGAAACCUGGAUUAAUACCGGAUGAGACGGGACCCGCGGAGGCGGGAUCCGGGAAAGGCGCCGCGGCGCCGCCGGGGGAUGAGUCUGCGUCCCAUUAGCUUGACGGCGGGGUAACGGCCCACCGUGGCGACGAUGGGUAGCCGGCCUGAGAGGGUGGACGGCCACAUUGGAACUGAGACACGGUCCAGACUCCUACGGGAGGCAGCAGCUAAGAAUCUUCCGCAAUGGGCGAAAGCCUGACGGAGCGACGCCGCGUGAACGAAGAAGGCCGUGAGGUUGUAAAGUUCUUUUCGGGAGGGGGAACAACCGUGGCAGGGAAUGGCCGCGGGAUGACGUGAAUCCCGGAAUAAGCCCCGGCUAACUACGUGCCAGCAGCCGCGGUAACACGUAGGGGGCGAGCGUUGUUCGGAAUCAUUGGGCGUAAAGGGCGUGCAGGCGGUCCUGCAAGUCCGGCGUGAAAGACCCCGGCCCAACCGGGGGGGCGCGCUGGAAACUGCAGGGCUUGAGUACAGGAGGGGAUGCCGGAAUUCCAGGUGUAGGGGUGAAAUCUGUAGAUAUCUGGAGGAACACCAAUGGCGAAGGCAGGCAUCUGGCCAUGUACUGACGCUGAGACGCGAAGGUGCGGGGAGCAAACAGGAUUAGAUACCCUGGUAGUC